AACCAUAUCACUUGUGGAAAUGAUGCAGUCACUGCCAACAAUACAGUUCUGUCCUCAUAUCCCUAAUAAUAUGAAAAACAAACAAAUCAAAAUUUAUGUAUAAAAGCACACUCAAAUAAGCAAAUCUGAGGCAAUAUGCACCAUGGCUUGAUCGGAGUGCAAGCCAACAAGAGGAGAAGAGAAAGGCUAGAACCUGCAAGCUCAAGAAGCAGAGCAUGUUGUUGAGGCAAGGAAUGAGAGAAAUCUGAAUCGCCGGGUCGUGUCGCCUCGGAAGGUGAUGACCACAGGCAUACCCUCUUCCACCCCCGCGCCUUCGCCCUCUUCCACUGCCUCCCCCCGUGUCGCCGCCCUCUUCCUCGGGCAGCUCUCGUGGCUUCCAGGUCCAGCUGUUCGAUCCUAAAGCAACAGAGUAAAUAUCGACUAUACUUAAUUACCAUUAUAGAGAUUCUCUCCUACAAAUUCAUAUGAAACAUAGUGUGUAUAGAAGCAACACGUACAGGUCAACUCCAUAUAUUUGAAUGAACACAUGCAAAGUAUUCCACGGCCUUCUAUAUGAAAUUUAGACCAUUUUUGCUGCCAAGGUUAUAGAGCAUUACUUGUCCUGUUUCUGGCACAAAACAAUUUAUGACUUCAAAAAAAAGAAAUAAACUGAAUUCUUGCAGCUGAACACCGCGAAAUAAAAUGCAGUAAUGCCUUGUCUCAUUCACUGAGUACUAUAGUUGAACAAAUUACAUGUGAACCUCACAGAAAUAACAAUGCACUGUAAAGGACAUGAGAAACUUGAGGCCUAGAUUGGGUUCAGCUCACCUUCUAGCACAUGACGAACUCAUCUGGACAACAAUACACCUAACUUGAAUUACUUUUUAUUCUUCCCACACUUUGGGUGCCUGUAAUCAAAGCACACGCCCAAGAAAAUUCUAUAUGAAAACAUUGCAAAAAGGCUAUGGUACAGGUUAGCAAGUAAUCCUAUGCAUAACUGAGGGAAUUACAGAAAAACAGAUUCAGAAAAAGGGAAGUGAAUGUGCAAACCUCAUUCAGGUUGCUCUCCUCGCCGAGUUGCUUCAAAGUAGGAGGAACAGCUCGGCAAGAUUAUGGAGGAAGAGGUUUCCAAUCCUCACGCUCCUGUAGCCCACGUCCUCAUCGAUGAUACGAAGAGGAGAGACGAGCUGCUCUUUCCGCCGACGUCAUCUCUCUCUACUCAGUGCCACCGCCGCCUUCGCCGCCAUCUCUCUUUUACCAGCGCUGCCAUCCCCAUCUCUCUCUGCCCAACAUCGCGGGCUGGAAAACUGAAAGAAACGAUUCACAAAAGGGAAAAUUUUGUUUUUGCCACUCUUGAUUUUGCCAAUUUUCAUUAUGCCACUCUAGGUUUUGACAUUUCACUUUUGCCACUCUUAGUUCUUGACAAUUAUCUGAAUUGCCAUUCCGGUGGCAAAAGCAAAAAAUUUGGAGUGGCAAUUGUCAUACAUUUCAAAAGCUAAGAGUGGCAAAAAUGAAAUAAAAUUAUUCUGCUUUUGCCACGAAAUGGCAAUUGUGAUAAUUGUCAAAAACUAAGAGUGGCAAAAAUGAAAUGUCAAAAUCUAGAGUGGCAUAAGGAAAAUCGGCAAAAUCUAGAGUAGCAAAAACAAAAUUUUCCCUUCACAAAAUGUACAAACUUUAUUCUACACACUGCUGCAAGCUAUGAAAAACAGAAUAUCCUCAGGUGCAGGUUGUUCAAAACAACUUCAAUUGGUUGCACCUUAGUCAUAUCAAAGCUUAUUUGAAAGAAUAACAUCAAAGAGUCCUCUCACCAAGUGCCCAGGCAAUGGGAAGCACAUGGAAAAACCAUUGAUGCUCCUUUCCGUAGAAGAAAUAAGUGAAUGGACAAUCUUCUCAUCUCUAUAUAUUCUCUCGUACAAUCCAGCUUGCAAAACAGGUGCAAGGAACAGACUGUUGCGUAAUAAUAUUAGCAAACUUUAACCAUGAACAGUUUUCCUUCCCAUAACCAUAAGCAAUGGAUCUUCAUAACCCACAUGAUAAAAUCCAACAAAUCAUUGAUUCCCUUCCCCGUACCUAGUGAAAAAUAAAUAAAGACAUAAACCUGUAGCAUCAAGUGAAGCAGCAUUUGUGACUGUUACAACAGAACAGAUAUGUACAUGAUCAAAUAACAAAAAGACAUUUUGAUACUUCUCAACCGAUACCCCUAUAUUCUCAUAAAGUAGGUGAUACAUACAAGAUAUGUCUAAUACGUUCAAUGGUAGGGAAUUGGAUAAUUAAAAAGAAUAACUCCAGUCAUCUUUACUUGUAGUGACAACCAUAUUUUAACAAUUUGUCCCAGGAAACAGUUUGAGCUUUUAAACUGGCAGUCAACUUACUAUCAACGGGAAACACCACGCUGCACUAUAUUUUUGUAAAUAGUUUACAGAAGAUCUGACAACUCUGAAAUCCUGAGCAGUAUCUAUGCAUGUUUUAGCAUGGUACUAAGCACAAAUUGUUACCAGCUGUAAAUAUAGCAUACUAAUACAUAUAGUUGAACAAUCACUAUAUCAUAGGACCCUCUCAUCUUUCCUCUCCCUUUCUCCAUCGUGGGCGGGGGCGGCGGCGGCGGCGCAUGAGGAAUGAGGGUAGGGUCACGGGGUGGGCUAGGUCUCUCUGUCUCGCUGCCCGCUCGCCUUCACCUACCCUCUUGAACUAGCCGCCAUCAUCGAGCAGCGACGGGAGCACACCCACAUCCGCCGGCCCACCAACCCCUGCUGCGCCUCCACCACGAGCCCGCUCACAUCUGCCGGUCCACCAAUCCCUGCUGCGGAGGGUUGGAGGCGCGGAUCUUGGGGAGCUCGGGGGCGUGCGGUGGCCAGAGCUUGCCGGAACCGGCCGGCGUGGGUGAGGGUUUUCUCCUUCCUAGCAGUUCUUGAGGGUUUAUAUGUUAACAUGAUUGCGUCUAAACACAAUAGCUAUUCGCUACAGGAAAAGGAAUCCCAUAUUCAUGCAAUCCCUUGUUCAAAAGGAUAUAAAGAGCCAAUGAACUUCCAUUGUGGUUAACAACUUCUAUUUAUUUAUGGUCCAACAUUGUAACCAACAACCUAAAGCACUGAGCCACUGCACCUUUCAUUUGCAUUUUCACAUAGAAUUAUUUAUCUAUCCAACAUCUAAACUCAAAGAACAUAUGCUUGACUGACACAACUGAGCAAUAACAACAGACUGUAACAGAAUGGAGAGGCAAGUAGACAACCACACGGACCUUCAAAUGCUUGAUCAGGGGCUCUAAAAACCCUAGGAACUCAAUCCCAUCGAGCACCUUGAAGACGUAUUCAGCAUUGAUCUUAUGUAUCUUUCCGUCCUUGCAAACAUGUCGUAGGUCUUCCCUGCAAAUAAGAUCACACUCAUGUUACUAUCAUCAUCCGAUAAACAUCACAUCAUGGGGAGAAGCCUAAUAUUAUGAUCUUGGACGUCUUCCCCUCGACCAAAGAAUAGAGCAAUUAGCUAAAGACCUCAACGAUGCAGAUCCUAAACCAGCAGGCUAACUAAUGCGAAUAAAUUAAGUACCGCUAUUUUCUCCCCCUAAGAAACCCCAAAUAUUUCACACAAGCAUCAAAUUCGCCAACCAGAUUACCAAAAAAACUGCAUCAAAUCAAUAAGGAUUACUCCCAAAAACAUAGCAAAAACAGGGAUGAGGAAGAACAAGGAGAUGCAAGGCAGGAGGCACGUCCGUGGCGGAGAAGUAGUGGAUGAAGAUGAGGACGCUCU
rnacentral:lncRNA from 1 species